rnacentral:RNase_P_RNA from 1 species
ACUUUGCAUCGGAUAAUUGCGCCCCGCAUAGCUUUAGCAACGUGGGGUGAGGAAAGUCCGAACACUCACGAAUCCGCCUUCGCUCGCAAGAGCUAUGGCGGACGAAGCAGGGUAGCGGGUAAUUCCCGUCUGGAGCAAUCCACGAGGUGCGAACAGUGACGAACCGAUUUAGUUCGGGUGAAACGGCUAAAUCCUUACUUGAGUGCAAGGCCGAGCUUAGUCUCGCAAGAUUCUAAGAGUGCCGCUUGACUCUACAAGUAAUUGUAGAGCUAGAUAAAUAAUUAUCGAUAACAGAAUUCGGCUUAUAGAUGCAAAGUAACA